rnacentral:rRNA from 1 species
GAUGAACGCUAGCUACAGGCUUAACACAUGCAAGUCGAGGGGCAGCAUGGUCUUAGCUUGCUAAGGCCGAUGGCGACCGGCGCACGGGUGAGUAACACGUAUCCAACCUGCCGUCUACUCUUGGACAGCCUUCUGAAAGGAAGAUUAAUACAAGAUGGCAUCAUGAGUCCACAUGUUCACAUGAUUAAAGGUAUUCCGGUAGACGACGGGGAUGCGUUCCAUUAGAUAGUAGGCGGGGUAACGGCCCACCUAGUCUUCGAUGGAUAGGGGUUCUGAGAGGAAGGUCCCCCACAUUGGAACUGAGACACGGUCCAAACUCCUACGGGAGGCAGCAGUGAGGAAUAUUGGUCAAUGGGCGAGAGCCUGAACCAGCCAAGUAGCGUGAAGGAUGACUGCCCUAUGGGUUGUAAACUUCUUUUAUAAAGGAAUAAAGUCGGGUAUGGAUACCCGUUUGCAUGUACUUUAUGAAUAAGGAUCGGCUAACUCCGUGCCAGCAGCCGCGGUAAUACGGAGGAUCCGAGCGUUAUCCGGAUUUAUUGGGUUUAAAGGGAGCGUAGAUGGAUGUUUAAGUCAGUUGUGAAAGUUUGCGGCUCAACCGUAAAAUUGCAGUUGAUACUGGAUAUCUUGAGUGCAGUUGAGGCAGGCGGAAUUCGUGGUGUAGCGGUGAAAUGCUUAGAUAUCACGAAGAACUCCGAUUGCGAAGGCAGCCUGCUAAGCUGCAACUGACAUUGAGGCUCGAAAGUGUGGGUAUCAAACAGGAUUAGAUACCCUGGUAGUCCACACGGUAAACGAUGAAUACUCGCUGUUUGCGAUAUACAGCAAGCGGCCAAGCGAAAGCGUUAAGUAUUCCACCUGGGGAGUACGCCGGCAACGGUGAAACUCAAAGGAAUUGACGGGGGCCCGCACAAGCGGAGGAACAUGUGGUUUAAUUCGAUGAUACGCGAGGAACCUUACCCGGGCUUAAAUUGCAGAUGAAUUACGGUGAAAGCCGUAAGCCGCAAGGCAUCUGUGAAGGUGCUGCAUGGUUGUCGUCAGCUCGUGCCGUGAGGUGUCGGCUUAAGUGCCAUAACGAGCGCAACCCUUGUUGUCAGUUACUAACAGGUUCCGCUGAGGACUCUGACAAGACUGCCAUCGUAAGAUGUGAGGAAGGUGGGGAUGACGUCAAAUCAGCACGGCCCUUACGUCCGGGGCUACACACGUGUUACAAUGGGGGGUACAGAGGGCCGCUACCACGCGAGUGGAUGCCAAUCCCAAAAACCUCUCUCAGUUCGGACUGGAGUCUGCAACCCGACUCCACGAAGCUGGAUUCGCUAGUAAUCGCGCAUCAGCCACGGCGCGGUGAAUACGUUCCCGGGCCU